GACGAACGCUGGCGGCGUGCCUAAUACAUGCAAGUUGAGCGCUGAAGGUUGGUACUUGUACCAACUGGAUGAGCAGCGAACGGGUGAGUAACGCGUGGGGAAUCUGCCUUUGAGCGGGGGACAACAUUUGGAAACGAAUGCUAAUACCGCAUAAAAACUUUAAACACAAGUUUUAAGUUUGAAAGAUGCAAUUGCAUCACUCAAAGAUGAUCCCGCGUUGUAUUAGCUAGUUGGUGAGGUAAAGGCUCACCAAGGCGAUGAUACAUAGCCGACCUGAGAGGGUGAUCGGCCACAUUGGGACUGAGACACGGCCCAAACUCCUACGGGAGGCAGCAGUAGGGAAUCUUCGGCAAUGGACGAAAGUCUGACCGAGCAAACGCCGCGUGAGUGAAGAAGGUUUUCGGAUCGUAAAAC
rnacentral:rRNA from 1 species